GGCGGUGGUCAGUUAAUCAGUUAUGGUUUUUAGAAUGGUGUUUUGCAGUGGUAAAGCUUGAGAUUUUCGACUGGGGCGAAAUCACUGGACUUAAAAAUUUUUAUAAAACCGGGGGUCGAAAACGGAUAUACCCAAAAAUUUUAUACGAAAACUACAUACUCUUCACUACUGAGCGAAAAGUUCGAAGGAUCGACUGCCCCCUCCCACCGCGUAAAAGCUUCGCCCAUGCUGAUUUGGCUAGCAUAUUAAACCUACCAAAGUGUU
rnacentral:lncRNA from 1 species